AAAAAAUUUAGGGUUAAAAACCGAAGAAGGAAUAUUGCGCUGUCAAGGUAGAUUGUUAAAUUCCGAUUUAGAUAUUGAUAGUAAAAAACCGAUUAUUUUACCAAGAAACCAUCAUUUGACACGACUUAUUGUAGAGGAAAGCCACCGUAAAGUACAUCACGGUGGUGUGAGAGCCACAUUAGCGGAGGUCCGAAGUAAGUUUUGGGUCCCAAAGGGGAGGCAAUAUGUGAAAAAGUUGUUAAGCAAGUGUACUGUAUGUAAGAAAUUGACGGGUAAACCGUACAAGGCUCCAGAAGCUGCAGCUUUGCCAGAAUUUCGCGUAAAACAGUCACCUCCAUUCGACAAGGUAGGUGUAGACUUUGCAGGUCCCUUGUAUGUUAAGCAAGGCAAAAGUAUGCGAAAGGUUUACAUAGCGUUAUUUUCAUGUUGCGUAACUAGAGCACUCCAUUUAGAAUUAGUUGAAGACUUGUCUGCCCAAACUUUUAGAAGAUGUCUGAGACGAUUCACUGCAGCGCGGGGAAAUCCAUCUAUAAUCGUGUCGGAUAACGCUAAAACGUUUAAAGCAGUAGAAAAGACACUGAAGCAGUUAUUUGAUCACCCAGAAGUGAAGUCAGAUUUAGAGGUACGAAGGAUAGAAUGGAAAUUCAAUUUAGAGAGAGCGCCGUGGUGGGGAGGAUUUUUUGAGCGAAUGGUGAGAAAUGUGAAAGUUUGUCUUAGGAAGGUACUAGGAAGCGCUAGAUUAACAUUUGACGAACUAAGAACAAUUUUAGCAGAGAUAGAGACGACUAUAAACUGUAGACCACUGACAUACCAAUACGAUGAACCAGGCGAAGAUGUUUUGACUCCGUCUCAUUUGAUUUACGGUAGACGCAUAAAGGGUAUGCCAGACGAGAUUGUUGAACCUGACGAUUACGCAAAUAAAAGUACAUGUGACGAACGAUUUAGGUAUCUGACAACGAGGCUGAAGCACUUUUGGAAAAGGUGGAGACGAGAAUAUUUAGUUAACUUGAGGGAAUAUCACAAGCCGAGGGCGGAUGAUCAUGGUGUCGCCAAGGUAAACGUGGGAGAUGUGGUUACUGUUUUUGAGGAGGAUGUGAAAAGGAAUAAGUGGAAGUUAGGUGUCGUAGAAGGAUUGAUUAAAGGCAAGGAUGGUGUCGUAAGAGGUGCGAAGCUACGGGUUAUUACCAGUGGUAAGCCGGUUCAUUUGUCUAGACCCGUGCAAAAAUUGUAUCCUUUAGAAAUUAGGAGCAGCAGCGAAGAUGGUAAGUUGGGAGCGAGCGUACCAGUGCAUGAAGACAAAAAUAAGGUGGUCAGGAAUUUGCCUAAGCGAAGCGCGGCUUUAGACUCAGGCUGUAAAACUAGGAUUAUGCUUGACUCGUAAACAAGUCAAUCGGGGGGAGAGUGUUGCGCAAUUUGUUAAGUUCAUAAGUAUAGAUAUAUAUUGCAACAAUAUACUGUAGAAGUUAUAUAUCAUUAUCAGUCAAGGGCAAAUUUGUAACAAGCUUACGCAUUAAAUGUUGACAUGUUCUUCUUUCGAACGCAAUAAAUGCAAAUUAAGUUCCUGUAGGUCCAAAUUAGGUUAAAAUGAGAAAAGAAUGUUCUUGCCGUAGGCGUAUGAACGCUUGGUAUGUUCUUCCUUUAACGUCAUCAGUUAGAUAUUUCUUCCUUUAAAAUGUAUUAUAUAUAUAACCGUGUAUGUAGAUUGUAGGUAGUUGUUAUAGUCAUUGUCGUAGUACGUAUCUGAAAUAAAGUUGUGUGAAAUUUACUGGUUGUCACGAUUGAAUGAAGAAUAGAAUACAGUCCCAAGUUAAGCGAGCGUGGAAGACCUAUAUACUAGCGGG
rnacentral:lncRNA from 1 species